rnacentral:lncRNA from 1 species
UUCAGUUUCUUUUUACAUUAAGGUAUAUAUAUUCAGUUUAGUUACCUGUUUUGUUCACUAGUUGGUCAAUAAUCUUGUAUCAUCUAUUGCAGGUGUAGCAGCAUGGUUUUCUCCUGGUGAUUGGCCGAUAAUCUUCUUUUAUCUAUUUUGUUUAUAGCUUGCGCACAGCCUCGCGAGAUCUUGAAACUAUCGAUGGGCUAGAAGACUGGUUCUAAGGUAAGACUUGCUGCCGUACCUCAGAGAGCUUCGGACCUUAGUUUCAUAACUUCAGUGGAAUGAAUUGUGAUGAUUUAUAGGCUAGCAUGUCGGAAAACGAUUAGAGUUAAGAUGGAUUUGACAACCACAAAUAAUUAGCUGGUUGAUCAAUCUGUAUCUAACUGUAUUUUGUAACUCAAUGAAAGAAUUUCAGUAGUAGUUUGGUGUGGAGUAGUUUGACAACCACAAAUAAUUAGUAUGCUGUAACUCAUGGCCCUUUAACUGACCAAAACAAACCAGCAAAUCAUAUAAAUUGGCAACCGGAAAAAAAUUGAAAGGGAAGAAUGCCAAAUGAUUAAGAAUUUAUACCUCAAUACAAGUUUCUACGCAAACUGCUGCACAUAUCCUCAGUCACAUUCACACCUGGCUCCUGUAUAACACAAAACAUUAUCCCUCUGUUUUUAAUUGUUAUAUUUUAUAAGACUUAUAUUCAAUUAUUUUUGGGAUCCAUACUUGCGUUUCAACAGAACUGUCCUAUUUGUGGCAUGAGCUAACUCGAUUCACGUUUGCUCACGCAAAAGAAAAAAGAAAAACAUGAACUUAUAAUUCUACGGUGGCGUGCGUAAAUGUCAAUAAACUAUCACCAAAAUGUAGUUUAGGUCACACAAAUUAAAUUCAUGAAUAUACUUUAUAUGGGCCAAACUUAGCCUAUUCAUAAAUGGCCCUGGUCAAUGCUAUUGGUCAAUUAAAAGAGCAAUGACAACAAGCAGCCAAUGGGAAGCUUGCCAGUCUCUCUUGACUGGUUUGUUCCCUUCUUCUUCUGCAACUGCAAGCAGAUGAAGUUUCUGUCUUGAUCGCCGUUGAUUGAAAUGACCGUCAGUAGCUUCUCAGUUUAGCUACCGUCUGUAUCCAGGCACAUGUACAUUCAGUUUAGUUACCUGCACUUCUGGCACUCCUUUUUUUGUUCAAUAAUCUUGCAUCACCCAUUGCAGGUGCAGCAGCAUGGUUUCCCCCUGGUAAUUGACUGAUAAUUUUCUGUUAUCUAUUGCGAUUCUUAGCUUGCACUCAGCCUUGCGAGAUCUUUAAAACUAUAGAUGGGCUAGAAGACUGCAGGUUUAUAAGGUCAAAACUUGGUACCGUGGAAUAAAUUAUGAUGAUUGAUAGACUAGCAUGUACGGAACCAAUUAGAGUUAAGAUGAAUUAGACAAAAAAAUAUAAAUAUCUAGAUGAUUUAUCCAUAUCACUCUAUGUUGUAACUAAAUGCAACAUUUUCAGUAGUAGUUCGGUGUGGAGGCUUCUGUGCAGAUUGGCAACCGGAAAAACAAUUAAAGAACAGAAUGCCAGAUGAUUAAGAAUUGAGACCUUAAUACUUGGCACUACCGCUCAAGCUGUAUUUGCAUAGUUAUAUUAUUAUUAUUAUUGAAAAUGUAAAUGGCAGCCCACUAGUGAUAAAUUUCGUGAGCCUUGUCCUACUUUGAAAGCAUGUUAUCAUACCUUGUGCAUCCAUUUUCAGCUUUCGGUUUCAGCCAGACUCAAGGAAUAUCCUAGUGUUUUUGGUGGACCUCUGGCGCUGAGUUUGUCUGAUCCAUGGCAGCCGUACUUGAAACUUUGCUUAAAUCAAGUGUCAAUAAGUUGCAAGAUGUCAUUACAGAUGAGGCCAUACUAAUCCUAGGGGUGGAAGAAGAGCUCACAAAAACUACUGCGACGAGUGGAACUAAUUCAGUGUUGUAUAUACCAUGCUGAGAAAAGGAGGACAAAAGAGCAAGCAGUAAACAAUUGGCUUGGUCAACUGAGAGAUGUUGUAUAUGAUGUUGAUGAAAUCUUGGACGUGGCUAGAUGUAAAGGAAGCGAGCUACUUGCUGACCACCCUUCACCAUCAUCAGACAAAUCAGUUGAAUGUAAAGGCCUUUCAGUUUCCUCCUGUUUUUGCAACAUAGUGCCACGCCGUGAUGUUGCAGAAUGCAUGACCUCUUAAGACAGCUUGCUUUAAAUAUAUCAAGAGAAGAAUGUUUUGUUGGAGAUGUUGAAUCAUUAAGGGGUGAAAAUAUGUCAAAACUGCGACGUGUUACUGCUGUU